rnacentral:rRNA from 1 species
CUGAAAUGAUAGUUGCCAAGGUUGUAGGCUCUCUAUUACUAGUCCUCUCUUUGAGGAGACCUGUAUUAAAAUUAACUGUAAGUACAGUGGCGCUAGCUGCAAACAAGGUGUUUUUUGAUUGAAGCAUCUUAUUUAAUGGUUACUAAGAUAGUAGUGGUGAGCGAAACCUUAGGUAUACAGAAACCAUUUAGGUCAGUAACUUAGUGUUUUUAGUAGAGAGACCCAUAGAGAUUAGUACUGUGAAGGAAACACCUUAAAAACAGUAAUCAACUAAUAAUUUUUAUACCUUUUGUAUUAGGGGACGAUAAUCAAGUCUUAGCAUAUACCAUAUAAUUUAAUUUUAAGAAAGAGCUAAGGUUCCCGAAACUAAGUGAUCUAGCCCUGGACAGUAGCUGAACUAACCGGUGUAUGUGGCAUAAUGCUCGGAAGAUCUGGGGUUAGAGGUGAAACUCUAGUCGUACUUAGAAAUAUCUGGUUCUCUACGAAAUUUAUAUAGUAAAGUCUUCCAUUUAGUGAGAAACCUCUAAUUCUAAGGUAUCCCCCAUAUUUGGUAGGAGACAGCAUAUAAGCGACAAGGUUUAUAUGCUAUAGAGCAACAACUCUCAAUAGUAGUUAAAGUAGAUAGAUAGUUAAUUAUACAUAACCUAGGUAGGCUUGGGAUCAGCCACCCUAUAAUAACAUCGCAACAGAUUAGGUUAAUUAUAGACUACUAGUAAUUUUGUUUAUCUGUUGAAACUUAUUAGUUAGUAGAGCUAAACCACAAAUAAUAGAGAGAUCUGGUGGUUGGAGAUAAGAUCGUUAUAAGUAGAGUGGCACUAGUUUUAAAAUUCAGCCCCUAAAAAGCGAUGGGGAGAAAGCAAACAAUCAUUACCCAGGAAAAAUUGCUUUUUAUAACUGUAUCUAUAGUGGUUUAUAUAAUGAGUUAAGUGUAAUUAAGGAACUCGGCAAACUGCUUAGUAGCAGUAGGAAGGCUGACUGUUUACCAAAAACAUAGCCAACUGCUAAAACAAUUAAAGUAUAGUUGGUGAAGCCUGCCCACUGAUUUAUGCUAAUAACAUAAGUUCAAGGGCCGCGGUAACUCUGACCGUGCUAAGGUAGCAUAAUCAAUUGCCACGUAAUUUGUGGCUAGUAUGAAAGGUUUUACAAGCUUUCCUCUGUCUCAAUUACACACUUAUCGAAAUUUAAAUAGCUGUGAAGAUUCAGCUUCUUUCUGGUAGGACGAGAAGACCCCGUUGAGCUUAACUUUAAGCCCUAGCAUUUUUAAUAUUAGAAAAAUAUGUGAUGUUAUUGGGCAGGUAAGUUUGGUUGGGGCGACCACCUAAAUAUAAGUAACUUAGGUAAGCUAAGGUUAAAUAUUAAUAUAGUAAGCUUGACUGUAGGACCUAUAGGUCUAUCAGAUAGUAAUACUAAGCUAUAGUGACCCUGUUAGUAUUCUAACAGCAAUUAGAUAAAAGUUACCACGGGGAUAACAGGGUUAUCUAGUAACAAAGUCCAUAUUGAAGACUAGGUUUGCCACCUCGAUGUUGAAUAGCAGUAUCCUAGGGGUGCAGCAGCUCCUGAUGGUUGGUCUGUUCGACCAUUAAAACUGUACUUGAUUUGAGUUCAUUCCGUUGUAAGACAGGAAGGUUUCUAUCCACCAGGAUUAUACCAGUUAAAGGUAAAGGUAUAACAGUACGAAAGGAACAAUAUACCGAACUGAGAUUAACAAUAACAAACAUUUAAAGCUAUGACAGAAACUAAUAGCCAGCUCUAUUACCUACUGAUAGAAUCCCCCCUCAUCUUUACGAUGGGGGGGGUUCGUAGUUGUUAAAUA